GUAAAGUCUUGCUCAAGAAUGCACCGAGCAACUGAUUGUAGAAGGUAGAAUGGAAAUUACAACAACAAAAUCUUAAUUCUAAUAGAAUACUAAAUAAACUCUUAUUAAAUCUUAAUAAUACUAAAUAAGCUUUAAUCAAAUUCAAAAGAAAUCUUAAAGAAAUUACAAAAGGAAUAAUAAAAAAUCUUAAAGAUGAUGAAAGAAAAUCCACAAUAAACCUUAAAAGAAUCCUUAAGAAAUUCUAAAAAAUAUUAGAAUGAUGACAAAUAUAUCUUAAAUAAAUUUCAAUCAAGUUAUAAUUUAAUCAUAAUUGAAACCUUAAUAAACUUCAAUCAAAUCCUAAAAAAAUUCUAAAUAAAUAUUAAAUCUUAAAUCAUAUUCUAAACCAAACUGUAAUCCUAAACCAAACCCUAAAUCAAACUCUAGAUAAAUUUUAAAUCCUAAACCAAACCCUGAACAAAUUCUAAAUCCUAAAAUAUUUUUUAAAUCAGAUCCUAAUCCUAAACUAAAUCCUAACCAAAUUCCAAAUCUUAAACCAAAUCUUAGACAAAUCCAAAUCCUAAACCAAAUCUUAGACAAAUCCAAAUCCUAAACCAAAUCCUAGACAAAUCCUAAAG
rnacentral:lncRNA from 1 species